UGUAGAUGAGGAGAGAAUCCUAAGGCCGACGGGAGAAGCAUUGUUAAGGAACUCGGCAAAAUGACCCCGUAACUUCGGGAGAAGGGGUGCCCACGCGAGUGGGCCGCAGAGAAUAGGCUCAAGCAACUGUUUAGCAAAAACACAGGUCUAUGCGAAACCGAAAGGUGAGGUAUAUGGGCUGACGCCUGCCCGGUGCUGGAAGGUUAAGAGGAGGAGUCAGGCAACGAAGCUCCGAAUUUAAGCCCCAGUAAACGGCGGCCGUAACAAUAACGGUCCUAAGGUAGCGAAAUUCCUUGUCGGGUAAGUUCCGACCCGCACGAAAGGCGUAAUGAUUUGAGCACUGUCUCGACAAUGCACCCGGUGAAAUUGAAGUACCAGUGAAGAUGCUGGUUACCUGCGCCAGGACGGAAAGACCCCAUGGAGCUUUACUCCAGUUUGAUACUGGGAUUCGAUACUGAAUGUACAGGAUAGGUGGGAGGCUGAGAAGCGUGGACGCCAGUCUGCGGUGAGCCGCUGUUGGGAUACCACCCUCUGAGUAUUGGAUUUCUAACCUGCGCCCGUGACCCGGGCGGGGGACAAUGUCUGACGGGGAGUUUGACUGGGGCGGUCGCCUCCGAAAGGGUAUCGGAGGCGCUCAAAGGUUCCCUCAGAAUGGUUGGAAACCAUUCGCAGAGUGCAAAGGCAGAAGGGAGCUUGACUGUGACACCGACGGGUGGAGCAGGUACGAAAGUAGGACUUAGUGAUCCGGUGGUAUGAAAGUGGGAUUGCCAUCGCUCAACGGAUAAAAGCUACCCUGGGAUAACAGGCUUAUCACUCCCAAGAGUUCACAUCGACGGAGUGGUUUGGCACCUGAUGUCGGCUCAUCGCAUCCUGGGGCUGUAGCAGGUCCCAAGGGUUGGGCUGUUCGCCCAUUAAAGCGGUACGCGAGCUGGGUUCAGAACGUCGUGAGACAGUUCGGUCCCUAUCCGGCGCAGGCGUAGGAUAUUUGAGAGGAGCUGUCCUUAGUACGAGAGGACCGGGAUGGACAGACCGCUGGUGUAUCUGUUGGUGACCAACACCAUGGCAGAGUAGCCAAGUCUGGCAGGGAUAAACGCUGAAGGCAUCUAAGCGUGAAGCCCCCCUCAAGAUGAGAUAUCCCAAUAAGUAAGACCCCUUAGAGAGUAUGAGGUAGAUAGGCUUAAGGUGUAAGCAUAGUAAUAUGUUCAGCUGAUAAGUACUAAUAGGUCGAGGGCUUAUCAA
rnacentral:rRNA from 1 species